UACGUAGGGUGCAAGCGUUGUCCGGAUUUAUUGGGCGUAAAGAGCUCGUAGGCGGUCUGUCACGUCGGCUGUGAAAACCCGAGGCUCAACCUCGGGCCUGCAGUCGAUACGGGCAAACUAGAGUACUGCAGGGGAGACUGGAAUUCCUGGUGUAGCGGUGAAAUGCGCAGAUAUCAGGAGGAACACCGGUGGCGAAGGCGGGUCUCUGGGCAGUAACUGACGCUGAGGAGCGAAAGCGUGGGGAGCAAACAGG
rnacentral:rRNA from 1 species